rnacentral:rRNA from 1 species
GAUGAACGCUGGCGGCGUGCCUAAUACAUGCAAGUCGAGCGAAUGGAUUAAGAGCUUGCUCUUAUGAAGUUAGCGGCGGACGAGUGAGUAACACGUGGGUAACCUGCCCAUAAGACUGGGAUAACUCCGGGAAACCGGGGCUAAUACCGGAUAACAUUUUGAACCGCAUGGUUCGAAAUUGAAAGGCGGCUUCGGCUGUCACUUAUGGAUGGACCCGCGUCGCAUUAGCUAGGUUGUGAGGUAACGGCUCAACAAGGCAACGAUGCGUAGCCGACCUGAGAGGGUGAUCGGCCACACUGGGACUGAGACACGGCCCAGACUCCUACGGGAGGCAGCAGUAGGGAAUCUUCCGCAAUGGACGAAAGUCUGACGGAGCAACGCCGCGUGAGUGAUGAAGGCUUUCGGGUCGUAAAACUCUGUUGUUAGGGAAGAACAAGUGCUAGUUGAAUAAGCUGGCACCUUGACGGUACCUAACCAGAAAGCCACGGCUAACUACGUGCCAGCCGCCGCCGUAA